GAUGAACGCUGGCGGCGUGCCUAAUACAUGCGAGUCGAGCGAACGGACGAGGAGCUUGCUUCUCUGAUGUUAGCGGCGGACGGGUGAGUAACACGUGGGUAACCUACCUAUAAGACUGGGAUAACUUCGGGAAACCGGAGCUAAUACCGGAUGAUAUUUUGAACCGCAUGGUUCAAAAGUGAAAGACGGUCUUGCUGUCACUUAUAGAUGGAUCCGCGCUGCAUUAGCUAGUUGGUAAGGUAACGGCUUACCAAGGCAACGAUGCAUAGCCGACCUGAGAGGGUGAUCGGCCACACUGGAACUGAGACACGGUCCAGACUCCUACGGGAGGCAGCAGUAGGGAAUCUUCCGCAAUGGGCGAAAGCCUGACGGAGCAACGCCGCGUGAGUGAUGAAGGUCUUCGGAUCGUAAAACUCUGUUAUUAGGGAAGAACAUAUGUGUAAGUAACUGUGCACAUCUUGACGGUACCUAAUCAGAAAGCCACGGCUAACUACGUG
rnacentral:rRNA from 1 species